AAUAAGUGCAGUUUUGCACUGUUCAUGUCUCACGUUUGACCAUUCGUUUUAUUUGAAAUUUUUCUACGAUUAAUAUUUUUAUUGUUAUUAGAUGAUAAAACAUAAAUAGUACUUUACGUGUGACUAACUUACUUUAAUUUUCUCAUAAAAUUUUCAAAUAAGACGGACGGUUAAACGUUGAACACGGAUUCCCACGGCUGCGCUUACU
rfam:Oryza sativa Japonica Group DNA, chromosome 2, cultivar: Nipponbare, complete sequence.